rnacentral:rRNA from 1 species
CCUACGGUGCGCAGCAGUGGGGGAUAUUGCACAAUGGGGGAAACCCUGAUGCAGCGACGCCGCGUGUGGGAAGACGGUCCUCUGGAUUGUAAACCACUGUCCCCAGGGACGAAGAUGACGGUACCUGGGGAGGAAGCUCCGGCUAACUACGUGCCAGCAGCCGCGGUAAUACGUAGGGAGCGAGCGUUGUCCGGAAUUACUGGGAGUAAAGGGAGCGUAGGCGGGACUGCAAGUUGGGUGUCAAAUCUACCGGCUCAACCGGUAGCCGCACUCAAAACUGCAGUUCUUGAGUGAAGUAGAGGCAGGCGGAAUUCCUAGUGUAGCGGUGAAAUGCGUAGAUAUUAGGAGGAACACCAGUGGCGAAGGCGGCCUGCUGGGCUUUUACUGACGCUGAGGCUCGAAAGUGUGGGGAGCAAACAGGAUUAGAUACCCUGGUAGUC